rnacentral:ncRNA from 2 species
CUCAUAACCGCAUCAGGUCUCC